CCGGCGGGUGCUUACACAUGCAGUCGAACGAUGAACCACUUCGGUGGGGAUUAGUGGCGAACGGGUGAGUAACACGUGGGCAAUCUGCCCUGCACUCUGGGACAAGCCCUGGAAACGGGGUCUAAUACCGGAUACUGAUCCGUCUGGGCAUCCAGGCGGUUCGAAAGCUCCGGCGGUGCAGGAUGAGCCCGCGGCCUAUCAGCUUGUUGGUGAGGUAGUGGCUCACCAAGGCGACGACGGGUAGCCGGCCUGAGAGGGCGACCGGCCACACUGGGACUGAGACACGGCCCAGACUCCUACGGGAGGCAGCAGUGGGGAAUAUUGCACAAUGGGCGAAAGCCUGAUGCAGCGACGCCGCGUGAGGGAUGACGGCCUUCGGGUUGUAAACCUCUUUCAGCAGGGAAGAAGCGAAAGUGACGGUACCUGCAGAAGAAGCGCCGGCUAACUACGUGCCAGCAGCCGCGGUAAUACGUAGGGCGCGAGCGUUGUCCGGAAUUAUUGGGCGUAAAGAGCUCGUAGGCGGCUUGUCACGUCGGUUGUGAAAGCCCGGGGCUUAACCCCGGGUCUGCAGUCGAUACGGGCAGGCUAGAGUUCGGUAGGGGAGAUCGGAAUUCCUGGUGUAGCGGUGAAAUUGGCGUAAAAA
rnacentral:rRNA from 1 species